UUCGUAGGGUGCGAGCGUUGUCCGGAAUUAUUGGGCGUAAAGAGCUUGUAGGCGGUUUGUCGCGUCUGCCGUGAAAGUCCGGGGCUCAACUCCGGAUCUGCGGUGGGUACGGGCAGACUAGAGUGAUGUAGGGGAGACUGGAAUUCCUGGUGUAGCGGUGAAAUGCGCAGAUAUCAGGAGGAACACCGAUGGCGAAGGCAGGUCUCUGGGCAUUAACUGACGCUGAGGAGCGAAAGCAUGGGGAGCGAACAGG
rnacentral:rRNA from 1 species